UAGAAGGUCAAGGACAACUUGCAGGUGUCUUUCCACCUUUUGGGUCCCAGCGUCAGGUUUGGGCUGUCGCCUUGACAGCAAGCUCCUGAGCUGCUGAGCCAUUUCAUCUGCCCCAGACUUGAGAAACCUCUCUGGAGUAGUGGUUCUUCCCCCUCCUAACGCUGCCACCUUUAGUACAGUUCUCAUGCUGUGGCGACCCCCAGCCAUAAAGUUACCUUCACUGCUGCUCAUAACUGUAACUUUGUAACUAUCAAGAGUCAUAAUGUAAAUAUCUGUGUUUCCAGUGGUCUUUGGCCACCCCUGUGAAAGGUGUUUGACCCCCAAGGGGAUUCAGGGACAGGUUGGAAACCACUGCUAGAGCCUCUGGUUCCAUUAGCACCUCUUCUGAGCGUCCACCGUACCCUCCCUCCAGUGUCUGUUUCUCCUUGGCACACGCGCUCAGUAGCACACUCAGGCACCCAGAGCAUUUUCUGCGUGCUGGCUAGGAUGCUUGCUGAGAGCUCUCACAUUGUGACCUGGAGAAGUAAAUUGCUCUAAUGCAGAGGCUUCAGUGCAGGCCUGUACCACUCGCCAAGCUUUGGUCAGUGAAGAGCCUGUUCGUGACAGUGAGACUACCACUUGUGCUGUUGUGUCUGUCCUAGUUUAUGUCGGCCACAAGGACAAACUGCAAAGUUCUCAAGAGCAUAGCCCUUUGUUGAGCCAUAUAUGGCUUUCCCUUUCUAGAAAGACAAUAUUAAUGAAACAAUCCAUAAAUACUCCUCAUCCCUUGGAGUGAAGUGGGAGGGUGCACCCGUCAUUCAGCUCUAGAAGCGAGGGCUUUAUUUUUAAAAAGCUAGGGGUCUAAGCUGUUCCACCCCUUCCAUGGCCUGUUCCUUUUCUCAGAGUUCUCCCUAUGUGGACCAGACUGGUCCCAAACUCCUGAACCUCCUGCCUGAGCCUCCCAGGUUCGAGGACUACAGGUGUGCAGGACUGCAGCUGUACAGGACUACAGGUGUACAGGACUGCAGGUGUGCUGGACUACAGGUGUGCAGGACUGCAGGUGUGCAGGACUGCAGGUGUGCAGGACUGCAGGUGUGUAGGACUGCAGGUGUGCAGGACUAUAGGUGUGCAGGACUACAGGUGUGCAGGACUGCAGGUGUGCAGGACUAUACACCUAGCUCUUUGGCCCCUUAUUUGCUUUGUUUUGCUUUGCUUCUUUGUUUUUUUCAAGUCGGGGUUUCUCUGUAGUCCUGGCUGGCCUGGAGGUCACUCUGUAGACCAGGUUGGUAUCAAACUCAGAUCUGCCUGCCACUGCCUCCCAAUCACUGGGAUUAAAGGCGUGUGCCACUACACGUCUUUUGUGGUCUGCCUUUAAAUUCUUAACCAAGAUGAGAAGAUGAGAAACCCUGGUCAGGCAGGUAUGGAUUGGUCAGGACACAUGACAGAGGCCUGAUGAUGAAGCAGCAUCGGUCACUGAGACCAGAGGCCAGCGGGCAGUUUGAUCUCGGUGUCUGCAUCCGAGGAUGAGGUACUUCACAUCUGGAUCUUGAAUUAACAUGGUAGAGGAGGGGCCUGAACCACUAUAGCCUCCUGAGCUCUGUGUGGCCUUGUCCUCCAGCUCACCAGUGCUGUUUUUAUCUAGGACAGCAGUCUCUCUCCUGAUGGCUCCCGAGGCUCUGUGGGCCAGCUCUGCCCUCACUGUCCAGCUCCUCCUUACUGUACUGUGCACAGAAUGAGGGAGCCAGAGUUCCAGCAAAAUCUCUGUUUUUACAAUCCCUGU